rnacentral:rRNA from 1 species
AGCUCCAAUAGCGUAUAUUAAUGUUGUUGCGGUUAAAAAGCUCGUAGUUGGAUCUCGGCGAGUAGAGGGCGGUUCGUUAUUUGACGCUACUGCCCUAUUUACUCGUGUUUUUGACGGAGGUUCCAGGGUGCUCUUAACCGAGUGUCCUGGGAUGCCGUCAGGUUUACUUUGAAAAAAUUAGAGUGCUCAAAGCAGGCUUUACACGCUUGAAUAUUCGUGCAUGGAAUAAUAGAAUAGGACGUCGUUUCUAUUUUGUUGGUUUUCGGAAAUCGACGUAAUGAUUAAUAGGGACAGUCGGGGGCAUUAGUAUUCAGACGACAGAGGUGAAAUUCUUGGACCGUCUGAAGACUAACUACUGCGAAAGCAUUUGCCAAGAAUGUUUUCAUUAAUCAAGAACGAA